UAAAAAAUACGUUUCUAAUAUUUUAAAAUAAUUUACAAGAAGGAUAUUAAAAUAAAAAAAUAGUCAUCUACCCUUUUAUGUACACCGAGCAACAUUAAUCGGUAUACAGCCAACAUAACUAUAACUAUGCAAUACCUUUACAUGUGUGGGUAAUUUUAUAGUAAUGUGCAUAAAAACAAACUAAUAGUCAAACGCCUAUUACGCACACAGUUUCAUCACGCAUACACUUAUACUAAAUAUCAUUUUCGUGAGGGUAUACGCAUUAAUUCAAUAAUGAAAUAUAAAUAAAAACAAGGGUAAACAUAAAAACAAUACGUAACAAACAUUGAAUAAAUCAAAUAAGGAACGAUCGAGUUACAAAAAUUAUACCCAUAUAAAUAUAAUAUCUUCUCAUCGUUUUUUAUGUUAUUCAAUGAGAUACGAUAUUUAGAUUGUCACUUUAAUUGCACGUAUGGCGCAAUGGUUAUCACUUGCGGAUAAAGUGACGAGACGCCGGUUCGAACCCAGCAUCGCGUUCUUUUUGUAACAUUUUUUAAACAUUAUUGAAUGCAAAUUUUCUAAUGUUUCAAUAUCUAAAUAAAAAUUUACAAUGUUUGAGGCAACCACAGAACUCUCAGGUUAUUUUAUUUGGCCCGUUUAUGAAGUAACUACCGACAAUCCGCAAUAUUUUUCUCAAACACCCCACAUUAUAAAAAGUCUGUAUUCUUAGUUGUCAGUCUACGAGUAUUUAUUAAUAAUUAUCCACAACUCAUAGUCGUGUUUAAUUUAAUUUAUAUCUAUCCAUACAAAGUUAAAGUAUAAACAUAUAAACAUAACAUAGUCGUUGUUUUGCGGAAGAAGAACACAUAAAUUAUUUGAUAUUGUAAAGCGAUUAAGAAUAUUGAGGAAAAACAAGAAAUGCAGUUAUGGGUCGGCUGAUAUGGAUAUUCUGGAAACAUGGGAUAUAGAAUCACGCUAACGACGCGAAAUAAGUAAAUCCAGAGAUGAAUUCUUCGUUUAGCCACCACGGCAUUGUGCCCGAACGCAAGGUUGAUUCGGAUUACUUCCAAUGCUUUCUUCUCCACACGCGUAACAACGCGCGCCUAUGCUGCAAUCUGUGAUAUCACCUUCAUUCUGCCGUUUUACGUUGCAGCAAGUCAGCGCUGAACACAACAAUUACAAAUCUAUAAUAAUAGCUCAUCGAUAAAACAAAAGCAAUUACAAUCUGCUAGGUUGAUCUUAAUUUUGAAAAUAAUGUUGUAAUUUUACUAAAUAAACAUUUGAUCAUUUGGAUAAAGGUAAAAUAUAAUGGUGUAAAAAUGUGUGCGGCCUUAUAGGUGUGAUUAUAGUGAACGAAUUACUUUAACUAGUGGAAUCAUAAGUGUAUUGCAGUUGAAUUUAUUUUACUUAGUAAUUGUAAACCUUAUUUAUACAGACAUAACAUUCAUAAUUGUUUAGCAAUGUGAACAAAAACAAAUUUUAAUAAUAACUGAAUACACACGUUAUCGAAAUUUGAUUUUUUGUCCAUUACUAGGAAUAUCGAAAGUCUAAAGGAGACGGUGAAGUGAUGUUAUUGUUAAAAUGUUGGAAAUUGUCAUAAUUUCUUUCCAUUUAACAUGUUGAUUCAUUUCACCACUCGUAUUAGCCUAAUUAAAUUUAAAUAGCUAUAGAUUGUGAAUGUUAAAGGUGUCUGUAUUAAAUAAUUGCACCACGAUAUUUUUUCAUCCAAUUUUUUCAUGUUUUUUUACUUAUUGGACAUAAUAACACAUAAAUAAUAAAUUAUUUACAAUAAAAAAUAAUGUUGUUUUAUUCAGAA